GUCUACGGCCAUGCUACCCUGAACAAACCCUAUACUGUCUGAUCUCGGAAGUUAAGCAGGGUCGGGCCUGUUUAGUACUUGGAUAGGAGACCACCUAGGAAGACCAGGUGCUGUAGGCA
rnacentral:rRNA from 1 species